rnacentral:rRNA from 1 species
GAUGAACGCUAGCUAUAGGCUUAACACAUGCAAGUCGAGGGGAAACGGCAGAGAGUGCUUGCACACUUUGGACGUCGACCGGCGCACGGGUGAGUAACGCGUAUCCAACCUGCCCUUUACUUGGGGAUAACCCGUUGAAAGACGGACUAAUACCCAAUGAUAUUCAUUGAUGACAUCUGAUUUGAAUUAAAGAUUUAUCGGUAUAGGAUGGGGAUGCGUCUGAUUAGCUUGUUGGUGAGGUAACGGCUCACCAAGGCCACGAUCAGUAGGGGUUCUGAGAGGAAGGUCCCCCACAUUGGAACUGAGACACGGUCCAAACUCCUACGGGAGGCAGCAGUGAGGAAUAUUGGUCAAUGGACGAGAGUCUGAACCAGCCAAGUAGCGUGCAGGAUGACGGCCCUAUGGGUUGUAAACUGCUUUUGUUUGGGAAUAAUCGACAUUACGUGUAAUGUUUUGCAUGUACCAUUCGAAUAAGGGCCGGCUAAUUCCGUGCCAGCAGCCGCGGUAAUACGGAAGGUCCAGGCGUUAUCCGGAUUUAUUGGGUUUAAAGGGAGUGUAGGCGGUUGGUUAAGCGUGUUGUGAAAUGUAGAUGCUCAACAUCUGACUUGCAGCGCGAACUGGCUGACUUGAGUACACACAACGUAGGCGGAAUUCAUGGUGUAGCGGUGAAAUGCUUAGAUAUCAUGAAGAACUCCGAUUGCGAAGGCAGCUUACGGGAGUGUUACUGACGCUUAAGCUCGAAGGUGCGGGUAUCGAACAGG